GCUGGGCGCAGUGGUGCACGCCUGUAAACCAGCGACUCGGGAGGCUGAGACAGGGGGACCGCGAGUUCAGAGCCAGCCUCAGCAAAAAGCAAGGCGCUCAGCAACUCAGGGAGACCCUGUCUCUA
rnacentral:sRNA from 1 species